rnacentral:rRNA from 1 species
GAUGAACGCUGGCGGCGUGCCUAAUACAUGCAAGUCGAGCGAACAGACGAGGAGCUUGCUCCUCUGACGUUAGCGGCGGACGGGUGAGUAACACGUGGAUAACCUACCUAUAAGACUGGGAUAACUUCGGGAAACCGGAGCUAAUACCGGAUAAUAUAUUGAACCGCAUGGUUCAAUAGUGAAAGACGGUUUUGCUGUCACUUAUAGAUGGAUCCGCGCUGCAUUAGCUAGUUGUUAAGGUAACGGCUUACCAAGGCAACGAUGCGUAGCCGACCUGAGAGGGUGAUCGGCCACACUGGAACUGAGACACGGUCCAGACUCCUACGGGAGGCAGCAGUAGGGAAUCUUCCGCAAUGGGCGAAAGCUUGACGGAGCAACGCCGCGUGAGUGAUGAAGGUCUUCGGAUCGUAAAACUCUGUUAUUAGGGAAGAACAAAUGUGUAAGUAACUAUGCACGUCUUGACGGUACCUAAUCAGAAAGCCACGGCUAACUACGUG